rnacentral:rRNA from 1 species
GACGAACGCUGGCGGCGUGCUUAACACAUGCAAGUCGAGCGGAAAGGCCUCUUCGGGGGUACUCGAGCGGCGAACGGGUGAGUAACACGUGAGUAAUCUGCCCUUCACUCUGGGAUAGCCACCGGAAACGGUGAUUAAUACCGGAUACGACCAAUCCCUGCAUGGGGUGUUGGUGGAAACUUUUUGGGUGGGGGAUGUGCUCGCGGCCUAUCAGCUUGUUGGUGGGGUAAUGGCCUACCAAGGCUUCGACGGGUAGCCGGCCUGAGAGGGUGACCGGCCACACUGGGACUGAGACACGGCCCAGACUCCUACGGGAGGCAGCAGUGGGGAAUAUUGGACAAUGGGCGGAAGCCUGAUCCAGCAACGCCGCGUGAGGGAUGACGGCCUUCGGGUUGUAAACCUCUUUCAGCACCGACGAAGCGACCUUUGGGAGUGACGGUAGGUGCAGAAGAAGGACCGGCCAACUACGUGCCAGCAGCCGCAGUAACAC